CACACGCCGCGGGAUUGAGGAGGAGGAGAUGGGCAGCGACGAGGCAGAGAAGCCAUGCUUACUAGGCAAACGGAUUUUGCGGCUCGUCGCCCAAAAGUGCCAAGGCAGUUGUGAAAGCGGGAGCUGGCUUUCUGAUGGAGCUGAGCAGAAAUUGGAAAUCUAGUCCGGACAGUUUCACCAGGAGGGGUUCCAAGUUCACAAUCUGAAGGUUGCAGUUUCCUCUAAUGCAAUGACUCAGCAGCCCCAGGAUGAAUUUGACACAAGUGUGGAGAAUGCAGAAGCCUGGAUGAAAGCCAUCCAGGAGAGACUGCGGAUCAAUGACAACACCGAGGGACCUCGGUCUGCCCUGGAAGCCAGGCUAAGAGAGACUGAGAAAAUUUGUGCGUUGGAGCCAGAAGGUCGAUUGAAAAUGGAUUUGGUCCUGAUGAAAGCAGAUGCCCUUCUUCGCUGCAUCAGCGAGGAGGAAAAGCAUGAGAUACUAUCCAAACUGAAAGACAUUAAAGCCAUGUGGGAAGAAACAGCCAUCUACAUUACUCAUUGCCACAGCCGUAUCGAAUGGGUGUGGCUGCACUGGAGUGAAUACUUGAAAGCCCAGGAUGAGUUUUACGCCUGGAUUCAUAACAUGAAGGUUACCUUGGAGCCUGACAUAGAGCUGCAGCUCGGUUUAAAGGAGAAGCAAUGGCAGCUGAGCCACUCCCAGGUUCUGCUGAACGAUGUCCUAAAUCAGUCAGUCCUGCUGGAAAGGCUGCUGGAGGAAGCUGCUUCCUUGUUUAACAGGAUAGGUGACCCGAGUGUCGAUGAGGAUGUCCAGAAGAAGAUGAAGGUGGAAUAUGAGGAAAUAAAGGCAGAAGCUCAGUGCAGAGUGAAAUUGCUUGAAAAGAUAACAAAGGAACAUGAGCAAUACAAGACCAACGUCGACCAAUUUCAAUCGUGGCUGAAUGGUGUGACUGAAAGAUUGAACUGCUGCGUCGGAGAAACAACAAAGUCUCCAGCAGACAAUGGGCUAAAGACAUUGCAGAACAUUGCCAAAGAUGUUAAGCGUGGUGAAAAGAAAUUGAAAUGCCUGGAAGUUGAGUCUACAGGGGUGAUCCAGAACACCUCACCCCUGGGAGCUGGGAAGAUGAAGGAUGAAUUGGAGGAGCUGAGGAAAGCCCUGGAGAAGUUGAAACUAAUAUGUGGUGAGGAAGAGGAGAGAAUGCAUAAGAUCCUUAAGUCAGAAAGUGCCUAUCAGUCCCAAGCCAGACAGUUGGAAGCAGAGGUCCGGGAAUUCAGAAAGAUGCUACAGAGACUAGAAGAUGACCUGGAGUCGGGGGAGAAGCCGAAGAGUGAAGAGGACUUAGUAGCUCUGUGGAGAAAAUACAUCGCAACAAGAGCUGCGCUUGCAGCAGAAGAGUCAAAGGUUGACAGACUGAAGGCUCAGCUUAAGGAAUUGUUCCGGUUUUCACAGAAUGUACAACCACUCUCUGACGGCGUUGUAACCGCAAUACGGGAAUAUCAAAGGGUCAAGGGAAAGACGUUUAAAAUGAGCACUGGGACUGAAACUGAGCUCAGGCAGAGUUUUCAGAAUCCACUGCGAGAGUUCCAGCUGUGGAAGCCAUCAGCUCAGAGACUUCUGGACUCCACUGCUAACGUUGCUGAGCCCUCCCUGACACAUGCUUUUUUACUUCAGAUUGAGGCAUGCCUGGCUCAGAGCUCCCAAUUCAAGGAGCAGUUGAUGAUGUUACAGCUGAAGAAGGAUUUGCUAAGCAGUAUCUUUGGUGAGGAGAGAGCGAAGUCUCUCCUAGUGGAAGUAACCGAUACAGCAAAGGAGAGAGAAAUUCUACACAAAAGUCUGCUGCAAAGGAAAAGCAGACUGCAGAAUUUGGUAACUCAACAUAAAGACUUUGAUGCAGGCUUUGUGCCUCUGCAGAAGAAGUUAUCUGCUAUCAGAGCCAAAGUAGAUCUAGAGAAUGAACCACAACCUGACCUUUUAGGUAAAGAAACACGACUCCAGAGACUACAGAUGAUCCAAGAAGAGUUGGCAGAGUUUAUAGUUCAAAUGGAAGAGCUGGAGAAUCUAGUUCAAUCUAAUCCCACCCACAGGCAUAAAAUGAACCAGCUUUCAUCUGACUAUCAGACACUGAAGAGAUCUCUGGAGAUCAUCCUGGCGCGGACUGAGAAGCACGUUCGGGAGCAUUGGGCGUUCAAUAACAAACUAUCAGACCUUCAGCGAUGGAUCACAAUGACUGAACAGAAGUUGGAAUCCUAUCAGGAUGCCAGUGGGGAAAGGAACACGGAGAGCAGAGUCGCAGACCUGGAGGGGCUGCUAGCUGAAUUCCCAGGUAAAGAGAUCCAGUUGCAUCUUGUUGGGGCUCAUGGCCAGCUGGUGAUUGAGAGUUCUUCCCCAGAGGGAGCAGCACAUGUCCAUACUGAAAUGAACCAGCUGACGGAAUCUUUGAGAUCACUCAAAAAAAUGACAAUCAGCCUCCUCAGCAGCAUUCAGCCAAAUACAACAGUGGUUGAUACGGGGAAGAAUAUAACCGUCAUGGGUAAGACACUGAUGACUGGGUUGGCCUUCGGCUCUUCAGAGGUAACUCUCAAGCACUCCCAGGUGAAUGUGAGCAUAGAGGAAGAAAACAGUCACCUCCUUAAACUCAUGAAGGACUUUGAACAGUGGUUACAUGUAGAAAAUGACAAACUGAGCAAGAUUCUUGUCAUGAAACCCUCCAGUUUUGAAGAAGUUAAAGCAAUACACAGCAAGCUGAAGGAGCUGCAGUCUCGUGUUCCUGAGGGGCAAUGUCUUUUCGAAGAUCUCCGUAGUCUUCAGACAGUUGACGGGACCUCUGAAGAUGUGGAGGACCUGCGUUAUCAAUGGAUGCUCUACAAAUCUAAACUCAAAGACUCCAGCAGCUCGUUGACUCCUAGAUCUUUGGAAGAACCCGAUGGAUUCAGAAAGAGACGCCAUGGGGGGAUGUGUCCUUUCCUGCACCGCGUGUGCUGGGCAGCGCUGCCACUGCAGAUACUCCUGCUGUUCUUACUGCUCCUGGCGUUUCUGCUCCCCCUGGUGGAGGAGACCCACAGCUGCAAGCUUGCCAACAACUUCGCCCGCUCCUUCAACUUGAUGCUGAGAUACGAAGGCCCUCCUCCAACUUAACUCCUCUACAGGCACGUGGCAAGAAGUGACUGGCUUAGACAUCCAGGCUGCUUUUUCCUGGGUGUCUUGACUAUUGCUGGUCCUCUAAAUCUAGGGCUUCUAAUAUGGCCACCAGAUUAACUGGAAACAUCAUCAAAUAAACGCAGCAUAAGGAACACAGAACAAGAAGGUAGGAAGAACUAAUGUCGGCGAGUGUUUGUUGCCUCCUUUCCCAUCAUCUUCACACACUGCAGGCAAAUAAAUGAUUGUACUGAAC